UGGGGAAUUUUGGACAAUGGGCGAAAGCCUGAUCCAGCAAUGCCGCGUGUGUGAAGAAGGCCUUCGGGUUGUAAAGCACUUUUGUCCGGAAAGAAAUCCUUGGCUCUAAUACAGUCGGGGGAUGACGGUACCGGAAGAAUAAGCACCGGCUAACUACGUGCCAGCAGCCGCGGUAAUACGUAGGGUGCAAGCGUUAAUCGGAAUUACUGGGCGUAAAGCGUGCGCAGGCGGUUUGCUAAGACCGAUGUGAAAUCCCCGGGCUCAACCUGGGAACUGCAUUGGUGACUGGCAGGCUAGAGUAUGGCAGAGGGGGGUAGAAUUCCACGUGUAGCAGUGAAAUGCGUAGAGAUGUGGAGGAAUACCGAUGGCGAAGGCAGCCCCCUGGGCCAAUACUGACGCUCAUGCACGAAAGCGUGGGGAGCAAAACAGGAUUAGAUACCCUGGUAGUCCACGCCCUAAACGAUGUCAACUAGUUGUUGGGGAUUCAUUUCCUUAGUAACGUAGCUAACGCGUGAAGUUGACCGCCUGGGGAGUACGGUCGCAAGAUUAAAACUUAAAUGAAUUGACGGGGUCAUAGCUGUUUCCU
rnacentral:rRNA from 1 species